ACAAGAAGAUAUCCAAGUAGCCAAUGUGCAC
rnacentral:piRNA from 1 species